AUCGCUUCUCAGCCUUUGGCUAAGAUCAAGUGUAGUAUCUGUUCUUAUCUUAUAUAUAUAUAUAUAUAUAUAUAUAUAUAUAUAGAGAGAGAGAGAGAGAGAGAGAGAGAGAGGGAGAGAGGAAGCUUCC
ensembl:snRNA U2 U2 spliceosomal RNA